rnacentral:ncRNA from 1 species
UGUCUCCUCCAUGUCUCCACUGAUAUGGAUUCAACCCGCCCUCGCAGGCGGGUUUUUUUUC